GGCAGCUGCAUCAAAUUCAGUCCUUGUCCAGCCCACGCUGGGGACCAGCCAAACAGCUGCCACAGGAACAGCUGUAGCUUAUGAGCCCCACUGUCCCUCUCCCUCAACCCUGGGGAUAAAUAAAUGCUGCAGACACUG